UUGCCUUAAACUAAUGAGUAAGGAAAACAAAGCGGGCGGUGAGAGCCGGCCGCGGCGCCCGAACCGUAAGGUGCGCAAGAAUUUAUGGAGGGGUGAUAGGCUGGCCGAGCGUUGACGCUGCUUACUUUGCAGAACUCGCUCGCGCGGGCCUCCC